UGGUGGAGUGAUUUGUCUGGUUAAUUCCGAUAACGAACGAGACCUUAACCUGCUAAAUAGUGCGGGCGACUUGCGUCGCUGCGUUCUUCUUAGAGGGACUGACUACGAUUAGUGGUCGGAAGUUUGAGGCAAUAACA
rnacentral:rRNA from 1 species